GUAGGUGGCAAGCGUUGUCCGGAAUUAUUGGGCGUAAAGCGCGCGCAGGCGGUUCUUUAAGUCUGAUGUGAAAGCCCACGGCUCAACCGUGGAGGGUCAUUGGAAACUGGAGAACUUGAGUACAGAAGAGGAAAGCGGAAUUCCACGUGUGGCGGUGAAAUGCGUAGAGAUGUGGAGGAACACCAGUGGCGAAGGCGGCUUUCUGGUCUGUAACUGACGCUGAGGCGCGAAAGCGUGGGGAGCAAACAGGGAUUAGAUACCCUGGUAGUCCACGCCGUAAACGAUGAGUGCUAAGUGUUAGGGGGUUUCCGCCCCCUUAGUGCUGCAGCUAACGCAUUAAGCACUCCGCCUGGGGAUACGGCCGCAAGGCUG
rnacentral:rRNA from 1 species